rnacentral:rRNA from 1 species
AUUGAACGCUGGCGGCAUGCUUUACACAUGCAAGUCGAACGGCAGCACGGGCUUCGGCCUGGUGGCGAGUGGCGAACGGGUGAGUAAUGCAUCGGAACGUGCCCAUGUCGUGGGGGAUAACGUAGCGAAAGCUACGCUAAUACCGCAUACGCCCUGAGGGGGAAAGCGGGGGAUUCUUCGGAACCUCGCGCGAUUGGAGCGGCCGAUGUCGGAUUAGCUAGUUGGUGAGGUAAAGGCUCACCAAGGCGACGAUCCGUAGCGGGUCUGAGAGGAUGAUCCGCCACACUGGGACUGAGACACGGCCCAGACUCCUACGGGAGGCAGCAGUGGGGAAUAUUGGACAAUGGGGGAAACCCUGAUCCAGCGACGCCGCGUGGGUGAAGAAGGCCUGCGGGUUGUAAAGCCCUUUCGGUAGGGACGAAGGCUCUCGACCUAACACGUCGGGAGGUUGACUUAACCUACAAAAGAAGCACCGGCUAACUCUGUGCCAGCAGCCGCGGUAACAC